rnacentral:tRNA from 1 species
UCUAAUAUGGCAGAAAAAUGCAUUGGAUUUAAACCCCAUAAAUAAAGUUAUAUACUUUUUUUAGAA